ensembl:antisense si:rp71-46j2.8 si:rp71-46j2.8
AAGGGGAAGGAGAGAGUUUGAGCGACUCCUGCCGCAAGACAGCCAUUGAUGAAGUUCUGCAAAGACGUGAAGCGAACAUGACGCUCCUGCCACAAUUUAUCCAAGUUGAUAUAAACUGCAUAGCAGCCAACCGAGAAGGGAACAGCACCUAUUCCAUGCCAAACAACAGCAUACACUUCUAUGACGAUGAUCACCAGAGAUGGGAUGGCGAGCCAAAUUAAAGGAUACCAUGGGCAAACUUUGGCCUAUGUGCCCUAGUUUGGGCAUCUCUGAUCUUGAUGAACAACAUGUUUUUUUGCACAAUGCAGAGAAACAGUUUGGUAUUGGCCAUUGCCAAAUCCGGAUACACUGUAUCACUCCUUAUCAGGAGUUAAAAAAACAAAACAAGAUCUCUUCUGAGACAUUGGUUUAACUUUAAAAUGUUGUAAAUGAUGCUUACUUUCUUGCACAGAACAAUUGUUUCAUUUCGAUUAGACCUCAAAGUAUCAGCAGGAGCCAAAGUAAUUAUUUUCAUCCACAAAAUGCCUGUACCUAUUGAUUUAGAUGUACUUUUUCUAUUUAUUGAACUACAGUUUCAGCUAAAAAUGUAAGGGGGAAAAAGACGGAUAUACUGUAGUACUUCAUGUCAGGAGUUCGAAAACCACAACAAGAUCUUUUUUUUCCUACCAGAAAUGUAUCUUUCUUGGAGUUUGGCACAAAUGUAAGACAUUCACUUUGUGUGUGUGUAACAGGUGUCAUCCUGCAGGAUUAUCCCAAUAAACUACUUUUUUUUGCUCUGCU